rnacentral:snRNA from 1 species
GGAUGUAAGGGUGAUCUGGCUGCGACAUCUGUCAUCCCACUGAUCACCAGGGUUGAUUUGGCUGAUCUGGCUAGCUGGGUGGGUGUCCCCUUCCUCCCUCACCACUCCACAUGUGUCCCUCCCGAAGCUGCAUGGUCGGUCGAAGAGGACAACCUUCCCCGAUACAGGCAGUACCGUUCAUUGGUCAUGGGUAUACGGUAGCUGUGCUCCCCUGCUGGAACCUCCAAACAAGCUCCAGGUCCAGCUGUAGGAGAACGUAAGGUAGUCAACCUCCCAAGACUGCAGACAUGUCCAAGCUAGGCAGUGCACGUGGCAGUCUGCCAUUUCCU